GAUGAACGCUGGCGGCAUGCCUAAUACAUGCAAGUCGAACGAAGAGGCCUUAAUGAGAGAGUGCUUGCACUAAGGAUUUAAGAUCACCUCUUAGUGGCGAACGGGUGAGUAACACGUGGGUAACCUACCGCAAAGACAGGGACAACAGUUGGAAAUGACUGCUAAUACCUGAUACCAUAAAUUAUCGCAUGAUAACUUAUGUAAAGGGGCGUAUGCCUCACUAAGCGAUGGACCCGCGCCGCAUUAGCUAGUUGGUGAGAUAAUAGCUCACCAAGGCGACGAUGCGUAGCCGACCUGAGAGGGUGAACGGCCACAUUGGGACUGAGACACGGCCCAGACUCCUACGGGAGGCAGCAGUAGGGAAUUUUCCACAAUGGGCGCAAGCCUGAUGGAGCAACGCCGCGUGAAUGAAGAAGGUCUUCGGAUCGUAAAGUUCUGUUAUUAGAGAAGAACACGUGUAAGAGUAACUGAUUAUGCGUUGACGGUAUCUAAUCAGCAAGUCACGGCUAACUACGUGCCAGCCGCCGCGGUAAGAC
rnacentral:rRNA from 1 species